GACGAACGCUGGCGGCGUGCCUAAUACAUGCAAGUCGAGCGAAUCUUUGGGAGCUUGCUCCCAAAGGUUAGCGGCGGACGGGUGAGUAACACGUGGGCAACCUGCCUAUAAGACUGGGAUAACUUCGGGAAACCGGAGCUAAUACCGGAUAAUCCCUUUCCUCUCAUGAGGAAAGGCUGAAAGAUGGUUUCGGCUAUCACUUAUAGAUGGGCCCGCGGCGCAUUAGCUAGUUGGUGAGGUAACGGCUCACCAAGGCAACGAUGCGUAGCCGACCUGAGAGGGUGAUCGGCCACACUGGGACUGAGACACGGCCCAGACUCCUACGGGAGGCUG
rnacentral:rRNA from 1 species